AACGAACGCUGGCGGCAUGCCUAACACAUGCAAGUCGAACGAGACCUUCGGGUCUAGUGGCGCACGUGUGCGUAACGCGUGGGAACCUGCCCUUAGGUUCGGAAUAACUCCCCGAAAGGGGUGCUAAUACCGGAUAAUGUCUUCGGCCCAAAGAUUUAUCGCCUUUGGAUGGGCCCGCGUUGGAUUAGUUAGUUGGUAGGGUAAAAGACUACCAAGGCGACGAUCCAUAGCUGGUCUGAGAGGAUGAUCAGCCACACUGGAAAUAAGACACGGCCCAGACUCCUACAGGAGGAAGCAGUGGGGAAUAUUGGACAAUGGGCGAAAGACUGAUCAAGCAAUGACGCGUGAGUGAUGAAGGCCUUAGGGUUGUAAAGCUAUUUUACCCGGGAUGAUAAUGACAGUACAGGGAGAAUAAGCUCCGGCUAACUCCGUG
rnacentral:rRNA from 1 species